rnacentral:rRNA from 1 species
CGGCUGCUCAGUAACACGUAGUCAACCUAACCUAUGGACGAGAAUAACCUCGGGAAACUGAGAAUAAUGCCCGAUAGAACACUAUACCUGGAAUGGUUUGUGUUUCAAAUGAUUUAUCGCCGUAGGAUGGGACUGCGGCCUAUCAGUUUGUUGGUGAGGUAAUGGCCCACCAAGACUAUUACAGGUACGGGCUCUGAGAGGAGUAGCCCGGAGAUGGGUACUGAGACACGGACCCAGGCCCUAUGGGGCGCAGCAGGCGAGAAAACUUUGCAAUGUGCGAAAGCACGACAAGGUUAAUCCGAGUGGUUUGUGCUAAACGAACCUUUUGUUAGUCCUAGAAACACUAACGAAUAAGGGGUGGGCAAGUUCUGGUGUCAGCCGCCGCGGUAAAACCAGCACCUCAAGUGGUCAGGAUGAUUAUUAGGCCUAAAGCAUCCGUAGCCGGCUCUGUAAGUUUUCGGUUAAAUCUGUACGCUUAACGUACAGGCUGCCGGGAAUACUGCAGAGCUAGGGAGUGGGAGAGGUAGACGGUACUCGGGAGGAAGGGGUAAAAUCCUUUGAUCUCUCGAUGACCACCUGUGGCGAAGGCGGUCUACCAGAACACGUCCGACGGUGAGGGAUGAAAGCUGGGGGAGCAAACCGGAUUAGAUACCCGGGUAGUCCCAGCUGUAAACUAUGCAAACUCAGUGAUGCAUUGACUUGUGGUCAAUGCAGUGCGGCAGGGAAGCCGUUAAGUUUGCCGCCUGGGAAGUACGUACGCAAGUAUGAAACUUAAAGGAAUUGGCGGGGGAGCAG